AUUGAACGCUGGCGGCAGGCCUAACACAUGCAAGUCGAGCGGAGCGGCGGACGGGUGAGUAAUGCCUCGAAAUCUGCCUGGUAGUGGGGGAUAACGUCCGGAAACGGGCGCUAAUACCGCAUACUAUCAGAUGGGGCUAGGUGGGAUUAGCUAGUUGGUGGGGUAAAGGCCUACCAAGGCGAUGAGCCGUACCUGGUCUGAGAGGAUGAUCAGUCACACUUGAACUGAGACACGUGUCAGACGCCUACGGGAGGCAGCAGUGGGGAAUAUUGGACAAUGGAGGGAACUCUGAUCCAGCAAUUCUGUGUGUGGGAAGAAGGUUUUAGGACUGUAAAACACUUUUAGUAGGGAAGCGGUACCUACAGAAGAAGCAACGGCUAAAUACGUGCCAGCAGCCGCGGUAAUUC
rnacentral:rRNA from 1 species